UGCCGGCAGCUUACACAUGCAAGUCGAGCGGAGAGAGGUAGCUUGCUACUGAUCUUAGCGGCGGACGGGUGAGUAAUGCUUAGGAAUCUGCCUAUUAGUGGGGGACAACAUUUCGAAAGGAAUGCUAAUACCGCAUACGUCCUACGGGAGAAAGCAGGGGAUCUUCGGACCUUGCGCUAAUAGAUGAGCCUAAGUCGGAUUAGCUAGUUGGUGGGGUAAAGGCCUACCAAGGCGACGAUCUGUAGCGGGUCUGAGAGGAUGAUCCGCCACACUGGGACUGAGACACGGCCCAGACUCCUACGGGAGGCAGCAGUGGGGAAUAUUGGACAAUGGGCGCAAGCCUGAUCCAGCCAUGCCGCGUGUGUGAAGAAGGCCUUAUGGUUGUAAAGCACUUUAAGCGAGGAGGAGGCUACUUUAGUUAAUACCUAGAGAUAGUGGACGUUACUCGCAGAAUAAGCACCGGCUAACUCUGUGCCAGCAGCCGCGGUAAUACAGAGGGUGCAAGCGUUAAUCGGAUUUACUGGGCGUAAAGCGCGCGUAGGCGGCUAAUUAAGUCAAAUGUGAAAUCCCCGAGCUUAACUUGGGAAUUGCAUUCGAUACUGGUUAGCUAGAGUGUGGGAGAGGAUGGUAGAAUUCCAGGUGUAGCGGUGAAAUGCGUAGAGAUCUGGAGGAAUACCGAUGGCGAAGGCAGCCAUCUGGCCUAACACUGACGCUGAGGUGCGAAAGCAUGGGGAGCAAACAGGAUUAGAUACCCUGGUAGUCCAUGCCGUAAACGAUGUCUACUAGCCGUUGGGGCCUUUGAGGCUUUAGUGGCGCAGCUAACGCGAUAAGUAGACCGCCUGGGGAGUACGGUCGCAAGACUAAAACUCAAAUGAAUUGACGGGGGCCCGCACAAGCGGUGGAGCAUGUGGUUUAAUUCGAUGCAACGCGAAGAACCUUACCUGGCCUUGACAUAGUAAGAACUUUCCAGAGAUGGAUUGGUGCCUUCGGGAACUUACAUACAGGUGCUGCAUGGCUGUCGUCAGCUCGUGUCGUGAGAUGUUGGGUUAAGUCCCGCAACGAGCGCAACCCUUUUCCUUAUUUGCCAGCGAGUAAUGUCGGGAACUUUAAGGAUACUGCCAGUGACAAACUGGGAGGAAGGCGGGGACGACGUCAAGUCAUCAUGGCCCUUACGGCCAGGGCUACCACC
rnacentral:rRNA from 1 species